rnacentral:rRNA from 1 species
GUCAGCAGCCGCGGGAACACCGGCAGCUCUAGUGGUAGCUGUUUUAUUGGGCCUAAAGCGUUCGUAGCCGGUUUAAUAAGUCUCUGGUGAAAUCCUAUAGCUUAACUGUGGGAAUUGCUGGAGAUACUAUUAGACUUGAGAUCGGGAGGGGUCAGAGGUACUCCUGGGGUAGGGGUGAAAUCCUGUAAUCCUAGGAGGACCACCUGUGGCGAAGGCGUCUGACUAGAACGAAUCUGACGGUGAGGAACGAAAGCUAGGGGCGCGAACCGGAUUAGAUACCCGGGUAGUCCUAGCCGUAAACUAUGCGGACUUGGUGUGAGGGUGGCUUUGAGCCGUCCUGGUGCCGAAGGGAAGCUGUUAAGUCCGCCGCCUGGGAAGUACGGUCGCAAGACUGAAACUUAAAGGAAUUGGCGGGGGAGCACCACAACGCGUGGAGCCCUGCGGUUUAAUUGGAUUCAACGCCGGAGAUCUCACCAGCGGCGACAGCAGUAUGAUGACCAGGUUGAUGACUUUGUUUGACAAGCUGAGGGGUGGUGCAUGG